rnacentral:rRNA from 1 species
UACGAAGGGGGCUAGCGUUGCUCGGAAUCACUGGGCGUAAAGCGCACGUAGGCGGCUUGUUAAGUCAGGGGUGAAAUCCUGGAGCUCAACUCCAGAACUGCCUUUGAUACUGGCGAGCUUGAGUCCGGGAGAGGUGAGUGGAACUGCGAGUGUAGAGGUGAAAUUCGUAGAUAUUCGCAAGAACACCAGUGGCGAAGGCGGCUCACUGGCCCGGAACUGACGCUGAGGUGCGAAAGCGUGGGGAGCAAACAGG